AUGCCAGCACAUUUGGAAAACCAGCAGUGGCCACAGGACUGGAAAAGGUCAGUUUUCAUUUCAGUCCCAAAGAAAGGCAAUGCCAAAGAGUGCUCAGACUACUGCACAAUUGCACUCAUCUCACACGCUAGUAAAGUAAUGCUCAAAAUCCUCCAAGCCAGGCUUCAGCAAUACGUGAACAGUGAACUUCCUGACGUUCAAGCUGGUUUUAGAAAAGGCAGAGGAACCAGAGAUCAAAUUGCCAACAUCUGCUGGAUCAUCGAAAAAGCAAGAGAGUUCCAGAAAAACAUCUAUUUCUGCUUUAUUGACUAUGCCAAAGCCUUUGACUGUGUGGAUCACAAUAAACUGUGGAAAAUUCUGAAAGAGAUGGGAAUAGCAGACCACCUGACCUGCCUCUUGAGAAACCUAUAUGCAGGACAGCAAGCAGCAGUUAGAACUGAACAUGGAACAACAGACUGGUUCCAAAUAGGAAAAGGAGUACGUCAAGGCUGUAUACUGUCACCCUGCUUAUUUAACUUCUAUGCAGAGUACAUCAUGAGAAAUGCUAGGCUGGAAGAAGCACAAGUUGGGAUCAAGAUUGCCGGGAGAAAUAUCAACAACCUCAGAUAUGCAGAUGACACCACCCUUAUGGCAGAAAGUGAAGAGGAACUAAAAAGCCUCUUGAUGAAAGUGAAAGAGGAGAGUGAAAAAGUUGGUUUAAAGCUCAACAUUCAGAAAACGAAGAUCAUGGCAUUUGGUCCCAUCACUUCAUGGGAGAUAGAUGGGGAAACAGUGGAAACAGUGUCAGACUUUAUUUUUUGGGGCUCCAAAAUCACUGCAGAUGGUGCUUGCAGCUAUGAAAUUAAAAGACGCUUACUCUUUGGAAGGAAAGUUAUGACCAACCUAGAUGGCAUAUUCAAAAGCAGAGACAUUACUUUGCCAACAAAGGUCCAUCUAGUCAAGGCUACGGUUUUUCCAGUGGUCAUGUAUGGAUGUGAGAGUUGGACUGUGAAGAAAGCUGAGUGCCGAAGAAUUGAUGCCUUUGAACCAUGGUGUUGGAGAAGACUCUUGAGAGUCCCUUGGACUGCAAGGAGAUCCAACCAGUCCAUUCUGAAGGAGAUCAGCCCUGGGAUUUCUUUGGAAGGAAUGAUGUUAAAGCUGAAACUCCAGUACUUUGGCCAUCUCAUGCGAAGAGUUGACUCAUUGGAAAAGACUCUGAUGCUGGGAGGGAUUGGGGGCAGGAGGAGAAGGGGACGACAGAGGAUGAGAUGGCUGGAUGGCAUCACUGACUCAAUGGACAUGAGUCUGAGUGAACUCCGGGAGUUGGUGAUGGACAGGGAGGCCUGGCGGGCUGCGAUUCAUGGGGUCGCAAAGGGUCGGACACGACUGAGCGACUGA
rnacentral:lncRNA from 1 species